ACGAGAUGCCUCUCCGACUAGACGAACAGAACCCUAAGCAAGCUCUAUUCUUCCCGGUCAGAGGGGCAUUUCUAUGUCACGACGCCCACUCAACACCCCGACUCAUCGGUGGAUCGAG
rnacentral:sRNA from 1 species